UACGUAGGGGGCGAGCGUUGUCCGGAUUUAUUGGGCGUAAAGAGCGUGUAGGCGGCCAGACAGGUCCGUUGUGAAAACUCGAGGCUCAACCUCGAGAUGUCGAUGGAAACUGUCUGGCUAGAGUCCGGAAGAGGAGUGUGGAAUUCCUGGUGUAGCGGUGAAAUGCGCAGAUAUCAGGAAGAACACCUAUGGCGAAGGCAGCACUCUGGGACGGUACUGACGCUGAGACGCGAAAGCGUGGGGAGCGAACAGG
rnacentral:rRNA from 1 species